GAAAUGCGAUAAGUAAUGUGAAUUGCAGAAUUCAGUGAAUCAUCGAAUCUUUGAACGCACAUUGCGCCCUUUGGCAUUCCGAAGGGCAUGCCUGUUCGAGCGUCAUUACACCAAUCAAGCCUGGCUUGGUAUUGGGCGACGGGGUCGGUCGAACCACCCCCCGCCCCAAAGACCCUUCCGGCGGGACGGACCGAAUCUCAGCGUUGUGCAAACGUGUCGCUGGCGAGACGGGACGGCCGUGCCGUUAAACCCCAUUUUCUUCAAGGUUGACCUCGGAUCAGGUAGGGAUACCCGCUGAACUUAAGC
rnacentral:misc_RNA from 1 species